GACGAACGCUGGCGGCGUGCCUAACACAUGCAAGUCGAGCGAACAGACGAGAAGCUUGCUUUGCUGAUGUUUGCGGCACGCGUGUGAAUAACACGUGUAUAACCUACCUAUAAGACUGAGAUAACUUCGAGACACCGGAGCUAAUACCGGAGAAUCUUUUGAACCGCGUGGUUCAAAAGUGAAAGUCGGUCUUUCUGUCACUUCUAGAUGGAUCCCCGCUGCAUUAGCUAGUUGUUAAGGUAACGGCUUACCACGGCAACGAUGCAUAGCCGACCGGACAGGGUGGUAGGCCACCCGGGAAGGGAGACAGCGACCAGACUCCUACGGUAGGCAGCAGAAGGGAAUCUUACGCAAUGGGGGAGAGCCUGACGGAGCAACGCGGCGUGAGUGAUGACGGUGCCCGGAGCGGAAAAAUCUGUUAUUAGGGAAGAACAUAUGUGUAAGUAACCGUGCAGAUAGUGACGGUACCGGAUCAGAAAGCCCCGGCUAACUACGUG
rnacentral:rRNA from 1 species